rnacentral:rRNA from 1 species
AGCCGCGGUAAUACGAAGGGUGCAAGCGUUACUCGGAAUUACUGGGCGUAAAUCGUGCGUAGGCGGAUCGUUAAGUCGGGGGUGAAAUCCUGGAGCUCAACUCCAGAACUGCCUUCGAUACUGGCGAUCUUGAGUCCGAGAGAGGUGAGUGGAACUCCUAGUGUAGAGGUGGAAUUCGUAGAUAUUAGGAAGAACACCAGUGGCGAAGGCGGCUCACUGGCUCGGUACUGACGCUGAGGUGCGAAAGCGUGGGGAGCAAACA